AAUGAACGCUGGCGGCAUGCCUUACACAUGCAAGUCGAACGGAAACAUGACCUAGCUGGUUAGGUGGCUGGCGAGGGGCGAGCGGGAGUGUCAUGCGGAGGAACUAGCUUUUUGAUGGGGGUUAACGUGGCAAAAGGUACCCUAAUACCGCAUAUACUCUGAGCAGGAAAGCAGGAGACCUUCGGGCGUUGCGCUAGAAGAGCGGCCGAGGUCGGAUUAGCUAGUUGGUGAGGUAAAGGCUAACCAAGGCAACGAUCCGUAGCGGGUCUGAGAGGAUGAUCCGCCACACUGGAACUGAGACACGGCCCAGACUCCUACGGGAGGCAGCAGUGGGGAAUGUUGGACAAUGGGCGCAAGCCUGACCCAGCAAUGCCGCGUGAGUGAAGAAGGCCUUCGGGUUGUAAAGCUCUUUUGGCUGGGAAGAAAGCGCACCCUCUAAUCCAGGGUGUUGAUGACGGUACCAGCAUAAGAAGCACCGGCUAACUACGUG
rnacentral:rRNA from 1 species